rnacentral:rRNA from 1 species
GAUUAACGCUGGCGGCGUGCAUGAAACAUGCAAGUCGAGCGCGGUCCACGGCGGGGUAACCUACUGUGGAUCUAGCGGCGAACGGGUGAGUAACACGUGAGCAACCUACCUUUGAGACCGGGAUAGCCCUGAGAAAUCAGGAUUAAUACCGGAUGUGGUCACGACAAGGCAUCUUGAUGUGAACAAAGGCGCAAGCCGCUCAAAGACGGGCUCGCGGCUUAUUAGCUUGUUGGUGGGGUGAUGGCCUACCAAAGCGAUGAUGAGUAGCUGGUCUGAG